CCUUAUUGAAAAACUCUAAAUUUAGCAAAUUUUCUUCCAUUUUUUUAUAUGCUACCUUAACAACCUUCAUUAAAUAGUAAGUAGUGAUUUAAGGAAAUCAUGAGAAGUAACUCGAGCAAGUUAAGGUAUGUAGAGGUACUUGACAAAAACCCAAAUUCUUAUCCCCGCAAGCAACGCACGCAAAUUUCCUACAUUUACAUCUCAAGAAUUCCUUGAAUCACUACUAACAUCUAUACACACACACGCCUCCAUCCUGCUGCAAUCUUCCCGCCGUUGAACCGCCAUCAACCUCCAACAACGACUCUCCUUCAGUCGCCACCAAUCUCCAUACUCCAGUUUCCCGCUCUCUGGUCAAAAUCAUUGAAUUUAAGCGUAAGAGUGCAGGCUUGGAAGUUGCAACAAUAAUAAAGGCUCGUUAAUGUUUCAGUAACAUCAGAAUUGGGACCAAUGACUCCUAUGGUGCGGAAGCGUGUUGGGGAUAAUGGCAAUGCAUUUCCUUUGUUUUGCAGAAGAACAAUGCCCUGUCUAGCUGCUUCAACUGCAAGUUCAUUAUGGGCAGGUAAACAAACAUCUCUUGGGCCUAAAUUCCCAUAUGGUUGGGCCGAAGGCUCUCCGUCAAACAUACCCAAUCUCAUUUGAACUGUAAUAAGGUUAGCUAAAGCAUUGUUAAGAUCAUUUUCAGACAUAAGUCCUUGCCUAAUAGCACCAUCAGUAUGUAGGGCUAAAAAUGGGCCACAAUCUAAAUCCAAGCCUGCUUUAAUCGCAUCGGCUGCAGCCUCUUCCGGUGUUUUUGUGUAGUGUUGGGUGUCGUAGUAAACUCCGACCGAGUCACAGUCUGAAACUAUGUACCCAUUGAGGCGCCAUUCGCCACGGAUGGUGUUGCGAAGAAGUUCGGGAUCAGCACAAGUGGGCUUGCCAUUGACUUGAUUGUAGGAACACAUUACACUCGCCACAUUCCCUUCUGACACACACGCCUUGAAUGGUACAUCAUAUGUGUCUGCUAAAUCCUGUUUACUCACCUGCAUAUACAUCUAUAAAUUAAUAAUCCUUGUAUAAAUUUGUGACAGUUUAUUCUUAAUUUGAUAGAUGAACUAGUCUUUUCUUUAUCAAUAUUAUUGGAGGAAGUGAAAAGAAUAUUUGAUGCCA